UACGGAGGGUGCGAGCGUUGUCCGGAAUCACUGGGCGUAAAGGGCGCGUAGGCGGUCUGCUAAGCGUGCGGUGAAAGCCUGGGGCUCAACCCCAGGUCUGCCGUGCGAACUGGUGGACUAGAGCACUGUAGAGGCAGGUGGAAUUCCGGGUGUAGCGGUGGAAUGCGUAGAGAUCCGGAAGAACACCGGUGGCGAAGGCGGCCUGCUGGGCAGUUGCUGACGCUGAGGCGCGACAGCGUGGGGGAGCAAACAGGG
rnacentral:rRNA from 1 species